rnacentral:rRNA from 1 species
UACGGAGGGUGCAAGCAUUAAUCGGAAUUAUUGGGCGUAAAGGGCGCGUAGGCGGCUAAGUAAGUCGGGUGUGAAAUUCCAAAGCUCAACUUUGGAGCUGCAUUCGAAACUGCAGAGCUUGAGGGAUGGCGGAGAAAAUGGAAUUCCACGUGUAGCGGUGAAAUGCGUAGAUAUGUGGAAGAACACCGGUGGCGAAAGCGGUUUUCUAGCUAUUACCUGACGCUGAGGCGCGAGAGCAAGGGGAGCAAACAGG